CCUACGGGAGGCUGCAGUGGGGAAUAUUGGGCAAUGGGCGCAAGCCUGACCCAGCCACGCCGCGUGAAGGAUGAAGGCUUUCGGGUUGUUAACUUCUUUUUUCAGGGGCGAAGCAAGUGCCGGUACCUGACGAAUAAGCCAUGGCUAACUACGUGCCAGCAGCCGCGGUAAUACGGUGGUGGCCGGCGUUAUCCGGAUUUCUUGGGUGUAAAGGGCGGGUAGGGGGGAAGGGAAGUCAGAUGGGAAAACUAUGGGCUCAACCCAUAGCCUGCAGUUGAAACUGUAUUUCUUGAGUGCGGGAGAGGCAUUCGGAAUGCGGGGUGUAGCGGUGAAAUGCGUAGAUAUACGGAAGAACACCAGUGGCGAAGGCAGAUUGCUGGACAGUAACUGACGCUGAGGCGCGAAAGCGUGGGGAGCAAACAGGAUUAGAUACCCCAGUAGUC
rnacentral:rRNA from 1 species